rnacentral:rRNA from 1 species
AGGGAAUAUUGCAAAAUGGGCGAAAGCCCGAUGCAGCAACGCCGCGUGGGCGAUGAAGGCCUUCGGGUCGUAAAGCCCUUUUUGAGGGGAUGAGGAAGGACAGUACCCUCAGAAUAAGCCUCGGCUAACUACGUGCCAGCAGCCGCGGUAAAACGUAGGAGGCGAGCGUUAUCAGGAUUUACUGGGCGUAAAGCGCGUGCAGGCGGAUUGGAGAGUUGGAUGUGAAAGCUCCCGGCUUAACUGGGAGAGGUCGUUCAAUACUUCCAGUCUUGAGUGCAGUAGAGGGAAGUGGAAUUCCGGGUGUAGUGGUGAAAUGCGUAGAUAUCCGGAGGAACACCAGUGGCGAAAGCGGCUUCCUGGACUGUAACUGACGCUCAGACUCGAAAGCUAGGGUAGC